UCCUUCUUUCUCCUCCUCUCCCCCACCCCCUCCGCGCGACUCGCGCCCCUCUCUUUCGCCUCUCCUCCCCGGCGCGUCUUUCCCGGCCCGCCCGGUGCAUUGUGGGCUGACGUCUUGGGGUUUGACUGUCUAGUUACGGGGGCUGUCGGGAGCGGGUCGGUGCCUAUGACGGAGGCUGCUCAAGUUCAGGGCUCGGGGCUGGAAUACAUGGGGUGCGGGGACCCGGAAGGCUGGGGAGCCGGGUUGUCAGCUUGGAUAUAUACAUUCACAUAACAAUUGAAAUAAAGUAGAAAUGAAGAAAAUCGAAAUACAAGGAAGUGGAUCAGUCAGCUGCUGUUGUGAAACAAUCACCAGGACAUCUGAGUGAUAAAGAAGCUGAAGUUCAGAGAAAUUAUGCAGUCACUCCAGGGCACAUUAUAAGUGGCUGUAGCCAGAGCCCCAGCAUAUUAACCACUACACCAUGACACCAUGACCUGCUGUCUCUUGAAAACCACCAACUGCUCCCUGAGCUCUUAGCAUGAUGCAGGUACCCCAGAAAUGUAUGAAGAAAGGUGGAAAAAGGAAGGAAAGGGGCAAUGUUUGAAGUCUGAGAAAGUCUUUCCUAAUGCCUCUCAACCCCACUCCCCAAAUUCCCAGAUGCACUAGGGGAAAUGGUUCCUUGUUCCAUAUUAAAAUGACCUGUUACCUGUCUGGCGCUCCACAAAUAUUUGUGAAUAAAUGUCCUCUGUUACUGUGUGGAUCUUUUGUUCAAGCUUUCCUCUCGGCCAAGAGGUCUAAAGAAAGGGAGCUGGGACUUAUGGGAAAGUCCUCAAAGGUCAUGGAGCACAAGCUGGCAGAGGUCCACAGAAAGGUCAGUGUGCCAGCCCUGGGCCAAGCCUGACACUGUCCUUCCAUACCCCUGGACUGCUGGAUGGACUUGGAGGGCUAGGGUGGCCUAUCCAUUCCUGCCCAACUUCUCCAUGGGACCUGAUGCCUGUGGGCUGAGUGCACAGCACAAUGCCCACCUGUCACAUGAGGAAACCUAAGGGUUUGCUGGUAGAUCUCAGUUGUGCAAGCCACUAUAUGUCUUGGUGGCUUAGUUGGGCCCACCUGGCUGAUGGAUGGUUGACAAGUCGCAUGAAAAUCAGAACAGUCCUCAGGCACAUUGAGAAAGCAGUUUCCUUCCUUGCCCUGGGCAGGAGCUGGGCCAGGGAAAGUGAAGAAACCAGUUCAGGGCCUCUGUGGGGUGGGCGUGGGCGGGGCCCUGCCGGGAAAGGGGCUGCUGGACCAGUUUCCAUUACUUCAGGACCGGAUGUAGUCCUGUGACUCUGGCGGAGGCUGGAGAAAUGUGCGCCCUGGGCGCAUCUGUAUGUCCUCCAGGGCGGCCCUGGAUUUGAUAAUGAUAGGGCUAGGGGCUCUAGGUCAGCGGUCACCGGGCGUGCGACAUCCGGUUGCUAAAUUAGGUUGCUAAAUUCGCCAGUAGCGAAUCAGCUGACAGGUAGAACUAGAAGAGGCUGUGGACAUCCAGUGGGAAGGUGAAGGAAAAUGAAGGAAGGGGCGGUGCAGAGCAACAGCAGAGUAAUCGUGCGCCUCUCCUGACGUCACACCCACGCAAGUUAAACCUUAUCCUUUCGCCUCCGGCUGCGCGUUUGGGUGGGAAGAUCCCUCAGAGUUGCAUUGGAAUCCCAGCGGUACCACCUGGGGCUUUUGUGUUCUUGGGACUUUGCCUAUCUGAGACAAAGUUUCCCUAGAUGAAAAAGUGGGAAUACCAACUCAAAGCGUGGUGCAAGUCAGUCAAGUAACAUAGGAACAGUGCCUAGGACAUCGUAGGUGCACAUAAAGCGCAGUUACCUUUCCCUUCUCCAGGAUCCAGAUCUCACCCCCUAGUCCGGGGAAGUCGCGACCCACAGGCGACCCUGGGGAAAGCGAGGUUUGGGUGGCAGGAGGCGUGGCCUGGUUAUAACUCGCCGAUCAUUUGAGGGUCUGUUAGCCAAACUAUCAAAUAGAAUGGGGCCUGGGGGAGGAUCCCGAAAGCUGCCUUUGGAUCAUGUUUCUGUGAUCCUAGGAGGGCAUUUCACUGCAUUCUUUCAUUCAUGUAUUU